rnacentral:rRNA from 1 species
UAAAGCUACUAAGAGCGUAUGGAGGAUGCCUAGGCACAUGGAGGCGAUGAAGGACGUGGUAAGCUGCGAUAAGCUUCGGGUAGGUGCAAACAACCUUAAAUCCGGAGAUUUCCGAAUGGGAAAACCCAGCCCGGGUUAUGCCGGGUUACUCCCACCUGAAUAUAUAGGGUGGGUAGAGCCAACGGGGAGAACUGACACAUCUAAGUACCCCCAGGAAGAGAAAAUACUAAUGAUUUCCCUAGUAGCGGCGAGCGAACAGGAAAGAGCCUAAACCGUUAACGUGUCAAGCCCAAGAGCGUUGCGCUAACGGUGUUGUGGGACUGGAAUAGAGUCAAUCUUGGACGACUCGACAAGUCAAAAAAUCAAUCGUUAGAUGAAGUGGUAUGGAAAGACCAGCCAUAGAAGGUGAUAGCCCUGUAAUCAAAAACGAGCGAUCUUGUUGAUUCCAGAUCCCGAGUAACACGGAACACGAGAAAUUUUGUGUGAAUCUGCCGGGACCAUCCGGUAAGGCUAAAUACUCCCAUGUGACCGAUAGUGAACUAGUACCGUGAGGGAAAGGUGAAAAGUACUCCUAGCGGAGAGUGAAAUAGAACCUGAAACCGUGCGCUUACAAGCGGUCGGAGCUCCGAUUCGUCGGGGUGACGGCGUGCCUUUUGCAUAAUGAUCCAGCGAGUUGCUCGUAUGUUGCGAGGUUAAGAUCCAAAGAUCGAAGCCAUAGGGAAACCGAGUCUGAAUAGGGCGUUUAGUAGCAUGCGGCAGACCCGAAACCGAGUGAUCUAGCCAUGGCCAGGUUGAAGUUCCGGUAACACGGAAUGGAGGACCGAACCCACCAGCGUUGAAAAGCUGGGGGAUGAGCUGUGGCUAGGGGUGAAAGGCCAAUCAAACUCGGAGAUAUCUGGUUCUCGUCGAAAUGCCUUUAGGGGCAGCGUUGUAUUAAUGUAUCGGGGGUAGAGCACUGAAUGGGCUAGGGGGCCUACAAGCUUACCAACCCCAAUUAAACUCCGAAUACCGAAUACAUGAUGUACAGCAGUGAGGCUAUGGGAGAUAAGUUUCAUAGCCGAGAGGGAAACAACCCAGAUCAUCAGCUAAGGUCCCAAAAUUGAUACUAAGUGAUAAAGGAUGUGGAAUCGCCCAGACAGCUAGGAGGUUGGCUUAGAAGCAGCCAUCCUUUAAAGAAAGCGUAAUAGCUCACUAGUCAAGGGGUUCUGCGCCGAUAAUUUCCGGGACUAAGUAUCAUACCGAAGCUAUGGGAUUCAUUCGAUUAGAAUGGAUCGGUAGACGAGCGUUCUAUUAACCUGCGAAGGUUGACCCGUGAGGGCAGCUGGAGGAGAUAGAAAUGAGUAUGCUGGAAUGAGUAGCGAUAAAGCCUGUGAAAUACAGGCUCGCCGUAAGCCCAAGGUUUCCUGAGUAAAGUUAAUCUGCUCAGGGUUAGUCGGACCCUAAGCCGAGGCCGAAAGGCGUAGGCGAUGGAAAACAGGUUUAAUAUUCCUGUACCAGUUUAAUAUUGUUUGAACUAUGGGGGGACGCAGAAGUGAAAGGAGAUCCCGGUUUUGAUUGUCCGGGUUUAAGUGUGUAGGGAGUUCUGGUAGGUAAAUCCGCCGGAACAUUAUCCUGAGGCACGAACAGGAGGGCCUAGCCCAUAAACUCUCCCUAAUCAUGCUGCCAAGAAAAUCCUCUAUGUUAGAUAUUAGACUGACCGUACCGUAAACGGACACACGUAGGCGAGGAGAGAAUCCUAAGGCGCUUGAGAGAAUCCAAGUAAAGGAACUCGGCAAAUUAGCCCCGUAACUUCGGGAGAAGGGGUGCCACUUGAGGAAACGGACUUCGCGUCCUGAUUUUUGAGUGGUCGCAGUGACCAGGCCCAAACGACUGUUUAACAAAAACACAGGUCUCUGCUAAGUCGUAAGACGAAAUAUAGGGACUGACACCUGCCCGGUGCUGGAAGGUUAAAUGGAGAGGUUAGCUUCGGCGAAGCUUUGAAAUGAAGCCCCAGUAAACGGCGGCCGUAACUAUAACGGUCCUAAGGUAGCGAAAUUCCUUGUCGGGUAAGUUCCGACCUGCACGAAUGGUGUAACGACU